rnacentral:rRNA from 1 species
UACGGGGGGGGCAAGCGUUGUUCGGAAUUACUGGGCGUAAAGGGCUCGUAGGCGGCCAACUAAGUCAGACGUGAAAUUCCUCGGCUCAACCGGGGAACUGCGUCUGAUACUGGAUGGCUUGAAUCCGGAAGAGGGAUGCGGAAUUCCAGGUGUAGCGGUGAAAUGCGUAGAUAUCUGGAGGAACACCGGUGGCGAAGGCGGCAUCCUGGACCGGUAUUGACGCUGAGGCGCGAAAGCCAGGGGAGCAAACGGG